rnacentral:rRNA from 1 species
CUUUAUUGGAGAGUUUGAUCCUGGCUCAGGACGAACGCUGGCGGCAUGCCUAAUACAUGCAAGUCGAGCGGACUUAAAGAGAAGCUUGCUUCUCUGAU